AAGACCUUUGCGCUUUUGGAGCGGCCGAUGUCUGAUUAGCUAGUUGGUAGGGUAAUGGCCUACCAAGGCUUCGAUCAGUAGCUGGUCUGAGAGGACGGCCAGCCACACUGGGACUGAGACACGGCCCAGACUCCUACGGGAGGCAGCAGUGGGGAAUUUUGGACAAUGGGCGCAAGCCUGAUCCAGCCAUGCCGCGUGAGUGAAGAAGGCCUUCGGGUUGUAAAACUCUUUCAGCCGAGAAGAAAAGGUUGCGACUAAUAAUCGCAAUUCAUGACGGUACCGGCAGAAGAAGCACCGGCUAACUACGUGCCAGCAGCCGCGGUAAUACGUAGGGUGCGAGCGUUAAUCGGAAUUACUGGGCGUAAAGGGUGCGCAGGCGGUUUUGUAAGUCAGAUGUGAAAUCCCCGGGCUUAACCUGGGAACU
rnacentral:rRNA from 1 species